UACAGAGGUCCCAAGCGUUGUUCGGAUUCAUUGGGCGUAAAGGGUGCGUAGGCGGCGCGGUAAGUCGGGUGUGAAAUCUCGGAGCUUAACUCCGAAACUGCAUUCGAUACUGCCGUGCUUGAGGACUGGAGAGGAGACUGGAAUUUACGGUGUAGCGGUGAAAUGCGUAGAUAUCGUGAGGAAGACCAGUGGCGAAGGCGGAUCUCUGGACAGUUCCUGACGCUGAGGCGCGAAGGCCAGGGAGCAAACGGG
rnacentral:rRNA from 1 species